rnacentral:lncRNA from 1 species
UACAAGCAGUGAUGGUUCUUCUGCCAGCCUGCCGCCAUGGGAUUGCUCUGUAUAAGAAGACAGGUGCAUUCUGGAAACUUGAAUCACUAAGGGGAGGAGCUUCAAUUUUGAUCCCAGAUAUAAGAAUGUUCCUUACAGAAGAAGGAAUAUUUCCCAACUCAUUUAAUGAGGCCAACAUUAUUCUGAUACCAAAACUAUACAAAAGCAUUACAAGGAAAGAGAACUACAGACCAUUAUUCCUGAUGUACAGUUUCCUGGAGCUGAGGUGGGGUGACACAAGCACCCCUGUGACCACCACCACUGGGACAGCACUGAGUCUCACUCAAGCCUCGUGGUAACCACUGCCUGUACUGCCUGCUUUUCGUUGAAGACUUCCUUGAGUUAUCUUUUUGGUCCAUAUUACAAAGAACUUUUUGUACUCUCCCUCCUUCUACCACCUUAUGCUCCUCUCUCUUUCCCCAUUUGAUUUACCUAUUCUGCUUCUCAGCAAUUAACCUUCUUUUCUUGUAGGUACUCUGAUAUAGUUUGGAUGUUCCCUCUAAAUCUUAUAUAAUUUCCAGUGUUGGAAGUGGGCAUGGUGGGAGGUAUUUAAAUCAUGGGGGUGGAUUUCUUAUGAAUAGUUUAGCCCCAUCCACUUGGUGCUGUCUAUGUGAUAGUGAGUGAGUUCUCAUGAAAUCUGGUCUUAAAAGUGUGUGGUACCUUCCCCCUACUCUCUCUCACUUGCUCCCAUUCUCGCUAUGUGAGACUGUGUCCCCCCUUCACCUUCUGCCAUGUUUGAAAGCUCCCUGAGGCUUCACUAGAAGCCCAGCUGAUGCCAACACCAUGCUUCCUGUAAAGCCCACAGAACCAUUAGCCAAUUAAACCCCCUUUCUUUAUAAAUUACCCAGUCUCAGGUAUUUCUUUAUAGCAAUGCAAGAAAGGAUUAAUACAUACUCCCAACUCAUCUGUUUAAUA